ACACAAGGGAAAAGAAAGCGCUUUGCCUCUUUCCCUUUCCCCCUCCGCCUUUUUCGUUGACUCAGAUCCUCCCGAAGGAAAAUUUUGGCCUUUCCUUUGCAUCUGUCGGCCCUUCUGGCGCCUGUCCGUCCUUCCUCUCCUCCGUC
rnacentral:ribozyme from 1 species